rnacentral:rRNA from 1 species
AAGAUGGCGACCGGCGCACGGGUGAGUAACACGUAUCCAACCUGCCGAUAACUCCGGAAUAGCCUUUCGAAAGAAAGAUUAAUACCGGAUAGUAUACGAAUAUCGCAUGAUAUUUUUAUUAAAGAAUUUCGGUUAUCGAUGGGGAUGCGUUCCAUUAGUUUGUUGGCGGGGUAACGGCCCACCAAGACUACGAUGGAUAGGGGUUCUGAGAGGAAGGUCUCCCACAUUGGAACUGAGACACGGUCCAA